rnacentral:lncRNA from 1 species
CUUGAGUUUUGCUUCACUUUCUUAGGAACUUCCCAGCCCUGCCAGUCCAUCCUGGCCACUCUGAGCAGCCAGGCCAGGAUAGGGCAGAUGCAUGCUGGCCAGCAUUGGUUCCAAUGAAGUUAGCAUCUUGAGGGGAGCACUGUUGCCUCUUUCAGAUCUGAAGCCCCAUUCAUCCCAGGGAGAGUGACCGUUGAGCCCUGGGGUAAGACAGACAGUACCCUCCCUGCCACUGCACUGGCCUGGAAGGGAAGCCUUAUUCUUACAUCCUAUACAGUAGGAUUACUGAGAAUCACCCAUCUGGAAGGCUGUUAUGAGCCAGGAUGAGGACCCUCCAUGGCCCGUAGGAAGUGCUUGGCCACCACUGGCUGCCCAUGGUGGUGUCCCUAUCCACCAUGCUAGCCUAGGGUGCCAAAGAACACAGCCUCAUCGUUAGUGCCUCCAUCCUGCUGAUCCUUAGGGCCAUUUUGGAGAAAGGGGUCUGGGAUUGCAGGAACCUGUCUGGAAAGCAUGAGGACUUACCUGCCUUCCCUCUCUUCAUCAGACGAUGUUCCAGCUGCCAGGAAGCCGGGGCCACCAUUGGGUGCUCCUGCUCCAAGGAUGCGUUUACACCUACCACUACCCAUGUGCCAGUGAUGCAGGGGCAUUUACUAAGCACCUACAAUUGCCUGAACCACAGUGAGAGACUGAAAGAGUUAGAGAGAUCCAGGAAGCCCAGAGCCUCAAUCAACCAGGCAGGGAAUUUGAGGCUCGGAGAGAUCCCUUCUUUCGCCUGAAGAAAGGUGUUGUUUGCUGAGUCACGUUAGUCACUCAUGUUAGCAAUAUUUUAAGGAGCUGUAAGACCAAGCCCUGGGGACCUUUCUACCUGUGUGCUUGCAGGCAGCCUGUAGGAGUCCGCUGCGCUUGGCUCCCCCAUCUGUGCCAUGGAGGCUGCCAUAGUCCCUUCAUCUCAGCGUUGUUUGCAGCAGAGGGAAGUACUGAGCACUGUCCGGGAAGGGUAGACUCAGACCUGUUCUGAGCCAGGCUCCAUGACCUCUACUGCCACCUCCUAUCCUUCCAAGCUCUGGCCUAGAAGGGGAGAGUGACCAUGACCCUGCCUUACAGUGGACAAAGCCUGGGUACUGGGGCUCAAUCACUCUUCCCACAGACCUACAAAUGCCCCUCCCCACCUAGUACCCCAUUAGGCGCUGCCCUAGGCUGAGGGGACCGCAGCCCAUACCUUGCCUGUCGGUUGGGUUCUAGGCCAGCAUCAGCCCCAGGCCUGCCUGGGAGCACACACAGGACCUUGAGUGGUGACAGUUCCUUGGCAAGACUGAGCUGCCAGUGGCAGACAGCGAGGGGUGGCUAGAGCAGAGCCAUGGUGGGGUCUCUUGCUGCUUCCCACCCUGAGCAAUGUGAACCAGAUUCCAGUGGGGACUCAAGUCAUUUACUGGGCACAUGGCCUCAUAGCAACCAUGAUGGACUGCAACCCUCCCUAUGGCAACUGACAGCAACCCCCAAAUGCCAGGGUCCACACUGUCCCCAGCCACAUCUUCACAAAUAGCUGUCUUGCCCAUAGCCACACAGCAGGGCACUGGCAGAAGCAGGCUGCUUGGCUCUCUCUUUACCCUCUACUCUUCCCCCAAUUCUGCCCCCCUGGGGGUCACCUUGGAGGCCAGCACAUGGGAGAAUGUGGUUCUUGCUCAUAGUAGUGGAGACCAGAGCAGGAAGACAGUGCCAUGGGAGAAAUUCAUCCUAUUUAGACUGGGAGGGAAGCCAGGAAGACUUCCAAAUGGAGGUGACACUUGAACCAGGCCUCAAAGGAUCAGCUGAAGUGGGCGACAAUUGGCAUUGUAUACUAGACUUUGAGCAGUAGAGUUUUUGCUUGAAGUGAAAUCUUAGUAGGAGUCUCCAUAUAACACGAAUCUGUAGAGCCAGUGGGAUUGAGGCUGGAAGAGGGCUGGGAAGAUGACAUACUGCCAUGAUCAGGCUGAAGAGUCCAGGUAGGAGAGAUGGUUGUCUAGUGCAGAUGGAGCCAUUAAAGCCACAGGACUUGGUGUAAAGUAGUGUCAAGCCUGACAUCAAAUUUCCUCAAGUGGGAGUAAGAGUGAAUGUAAGCAGGGCUGGCAGAAGAUAGAGGGAAACUACUGCUGCUUAGUGACUGACUUUUCCAGUCUCAACUUACUGGCUAAAACACCAAGGGCACAAGGCAGCUGGCACACUCUGUGGGGGCGGGAUGCCCUAGGGAGGCCCCAGAUGGGCAGUCUCUUUCUGCACGUGGUCUCUUCAUGCAGCCUCCUGCCAGCAACCCAGUCCUGACAGAUUGGAAGUCACAGACUAGAGAAUGCAUGGCACCUCUCCAUUGGAGCUGGGCACUGGCAAGGGCUAUCUGCCUGCCACACCUGUGGUGGCCCAAGGAUAGGCUGCAUUUGAGGCAUCUGCAGAGAUAUGCAGGGAGCUGUCCCAGAGGGUCUCAGGAUAGACAAUGGCCACUGGCCAGAGGGAGCUCAUCAGAGGGACAAUGGGAGUUUGAUACUCUGAACAGCUGGUGGUAGAGGAGAGGACCCUCAGGAAACAGGUGCUGCAGCCAGAGCAGUGAGAAAGGAUCAGGCUUCAGGAAGCAGGGAGGACAGGGGAAAGAGGAGCUAGGGGAGCUGUUUUUCCAGGGGUCUUGGUUGGGCUCCUCGGGCUGCAGGACCUGGGCUGCCCAUGGCUACCACCUUAAACCCUGCACUGCUGUCCUGGCCCCUUUCCCUCUUGCUUUCCUUCUAGUCCUUGUUAAGGGGACGCCACUUGGAGGCUAACAGUGAUUCCUGAGAGGAGGAAGAGGUUAUCACACUAAGGUGUCCUGUUUAAACUUACCGUACCCAGCAUUGGGGCACCUUCAUACCCAGGUCCAAGACUCCAGGAGGGGGCAGACACUGAUGCCUGACCCUUCCUGGCAUCUCCCCUCCCAUGCCCAGAAUGGGCCACGUUGGGUGAUUGCUGAG